GAUAAAAUCAGAGGUCAGAUAUCUCAGACCAGACAUCAAGCACCACACAUUUCUUGCAGUGCACUGCAACUUAACAAUAGUGCUCAAUUAACUGCAAACUUAUACUUAUGUUUGAAAAAUAUUCUUCACCUUGCAUAACAAAACAAUAACAGGUGAUGGUAGAAACAUAUACUGUAAAUACCUACUGGCCUAAAGAACAGAAUUACACCCUGCUAAACCACAUAGAUACAUAUGCCAGCUAAGGUAAAAACUCUUCUGUAGUAUAGAGCAGUGAAUCUCAGCUGGUUUUGCUUCAGUGCCAAAAUAGUUUACUGUACAAAAGUAAGCAAAAACAUCCUUAAAAAAUAGUUAUAUUUAUUAAAAUUACAAUGAACUACAUUGGCCCAACAAUAUGCAAACUUAUUACCAUGACACAUGACAAUUUUGUAAAUGCAUUAACAAGAGCAGAAGUGUGAUUUAACAACCUCACACAUGGAACAAACACUGGGCCAAGUGUUAUAUUAGUAUUAGCCAAAUUACCAAGUGGCAGACAAAUUUGCACGCAAAAUACCAUAGUUUGAUAAGAUGCACAACCUUUCACGUUAACAACAAAUGAAAUGCAGGACUGCCAACUCUCAUGCACUGAGCGUGAGAGUCAAGCAAUUGACACUCAUUCUCACACUCUCAUGCCACACAUCCAUUUUCUCAUGCAGUGAUAACGUCAUGGAGCAAAGAGGACACUGACAGCGCACGGACAGACAAGACAGAGCAGGCAGCACCAUGCAGCAGCGAGUUAUUCAGACCAAUCAGGGGGAAAGCAGCAGCACAGUGUCUCCCCCUCUCCAUACUCUUGUAAAAUAUGAGCAAUAACAAUAAAAUUAUUAUGUUGACUCCUCAUGAAAAGGAUUAGGGGUGCACCGAUAGAUCGGCUACCAAUCAAAAUCUGCCGAUCUUCGUCUUAAAUCCGUGAUCAGCAAUCGUGCCUAGAAUCAGGGCCGAUAUUUUUUGCAGCAUGCAAGGAAUCACACAUAUACAGCUACCCUAAUGAAUGAGUGCUUUCUCAGCUCUUGAUGCAUGGCAGUGUGGCCUCUGGAGGGUGAAUUGCUGGCAAUUCUUAGCUUUCAGACAUUAUGUAAUUCACAUGAAUAUACCAUUUUGUUUUUAAAAAUGUGUAAGAAUUACACAUGUAUGAAUAUUAAGUUGCACAUUUUCUAGAGUUAUUAUGGUUAUUCUGACUCGUUGCACAGUGAGCAGGAAGAGGAUAAAGAGGCUACUAACAGGUAUAAAAAUGAAUUAAACAACAAAUAAUCAUACGUAUACAAAUCUGAGUAUACCUGAUGUAACGCAAGUCGUGACAAUCAGACAUGUGGAGCGAUAAAGGCUGUUUGAGCGAUCGUGAGCACUUUUAGCUUUACAGACCUUUUUCACACUCUGGGUUUUGGAACGCGGAAGUAAACGUUUGCAGGGUAAACUUCAGCAGCGUUGAAUGGGAGUGAAUGGGAGAUCACAGCAAAUAUUAUUUUCACUUACCCAUUUGCUCCAAGACCAAAAGAAAAAAUCCACUAUUACGUUUGAAUGACUUUCCCAAAGAGGAAAAAAAAUAGAGAGCGGUGGAUUGAGACUGUCACUCUCUCAGCAGCUGUAAUCGAAACCCCCUCGCAGCUGUGGUAAUUUUUAAAACCAAUACCAGGGCAAUAUAACACAAAGUAUAAUGUUAUAAAGUUACUCAAUAUUUAAAAAAUUGAUAGUAUAAAAAAAGUUUGCUAGAUUUAAGCUGCUAAAUAAGGCUGAAACGCAUCAUCACAAUCUGAAAAUCGUCUACUCUCUUUAACAUACUCACAGUGUCAAUCAAACAUGCGUGCUCUGCAGGUGCUCUCAAUAUCUCAUCAUCAGUCACUCAUACCAGCGCUAUUCUGUGAGGAUCACAAUUUAAUCAGAUUAAUGUGGGUCAUAGUACCACUAAUCAAGGCCGUAACCAUGUCGGGGGGAGAGAGACCAAACCAUUUGGGUGUUGAGGUCACAAAUAUAAUUGUCCUCUUUGGUCCUUUAAAAUAGUAAAGGCUCUGAAUGCAAUAAUUUUCUGAAUAAAGGCUUUUAAUGAUUUUUGGUUUUAAAAGAUACAUUCCCUUACAAAACCACCCUACAUGAAUUCUGCAGGAUGUUUGCAGGUAUCCUGCUGGAAUGAUGAAAUCCUGCAGGACACAUGGACAAACUGUGCAGGAUAUUCCUUCAGGUUUUAGAAUGGAACUUUAAAAACCACAGAGACAUGCAGGAAUAGCCAGCACACUUCCUGCAUGGGAGAAAAAUCCUGCAGGAUUUUGUAUUUCUUCAGGACAACUGCAAACCUCCUGCAGGAAUAAAAUAGGGUUCUAAAAGGUUUAAUCGAUCCUGCAGGAUUUAGUCAUUUCUACAGGACAACUACAAACCUCCUGCAGGAAUAAAAUAGGGUUCUAAAACGUUUAAUCGAUCCUGCAGGACGCCUGCGUAUUUCCUGCAGGAAUAAAACAGUAUCCUAUGGGAUACACAGGAGGACACACUGAUGUAAUAACUGUAAUAACUUAUAUUUACACAGUUGUUAUAUGUAAAAGUUCCUGAAUGUCUUUUAAUCUUGAUAAAGUAAAUGUUACUGAUGUGUGAUGUUUGUUAAAUAUUUUAAGUAAAAUAUGUGUAGUUUUGUGGAGUUAAAUCUGUUACAGAGUUAACAAAGGCUGACAGCUUUACGUUUGAAAUAUCAAAACCUGUUUUAAGACUUUACAUUUGAAAGAAGCCUUGUAUGUUGUUAACAAAAUACAUUUGUUUUGUUAUGUGUUUUCAAUGGUCCUAAGUGAUGUUAAAAUACUUUUGAUUACCUCAGGAAGUAAUCUGGAGCAAAUCUGGAUGUGAAAGAGUACUAGAUGAUCUACAGAGUAUCAUCAAAGCCAGAAAAAAAACAGUGAAAAGAUGUUGGGCUUUCAGCCACACCAUUAUGGACAAGAUGGCAGAUUGUGAAUCUCAUGGAAAAAAGACACAUUGGACAGUCAUUAAGGAAAUUAAUAAGCAAAAAUGAAGGAAAAGGCAUGGAUGGAUGAUGGGCACUACUCCUGAUGUUGCUUUAACAAUGCAAAAAGCACUUACCAAUUUGCUUGAAGUGAAAAUCAGUCCUCCUUUCCUGUUUAAUUAAUCAAUCGCACGAUCAUGCAGGUUUUUAUAUCCAUAAGGAUCUCUUUCUCAAUGGUAAUAACAGCAGUGACGGCCAACUCGUCAGCAUCUCGUGCUCUUCGCUUUCAAAUUAGGUACAUCACUUAAAGCGUGAUUGCGUCACUCAAGGCCAGCUAGAAGGCCUGGACUGGGAUAUGUCCUAAAGAUCACACCCACCAAGAACAAAUAAAUCAAUCUGAUUGGCUGAUGAAUCUGACAAUCUGACUUUAGAUGCCCAUUCACUGCACUGUUGAGGGAUUCUGCAGAAAUUAUGAAGGCCUGACAGGGUGGAGCUCAGACUUACGCACUGCUUUGGCUAAGGAGCUCGGCUUCAGGCAUGCGAUUUGUGAAACAGUUGUCACACUUUGCUUGUAAGCAUCGAGGAAUAAAUUCUAUUUGGAUAAACUUUUUGUUUUAUGCUAUUCAUUUGUAGAUGAAUUAGGGGUGGAAAGCAAUUGAAAAUACAUAAAAAGGUCAAUAAGAAUGAAAGGAUGAAACAAUAUUUAUUAGGCAUGUUACGCCAGCAGAGAAGGCUUUGCUGGCCCUGAGUAAUCGCCACUGCAUUACAAUAUCAUGAAAUAUUCAUAUAGUAAUCAUUCGGUACCAUGGUAUUACCCUGGUAAUACCACAGUGCUUCAAAGUCUUCAAAUCUUUUUCUUAUCUCAUCACUCUUCUCUAAACUUCCAUCUCUGCUCCUUCACUUCAUCCUGUCAUCUUUGCUGCUUCCUCUCUGACCUCAUCAUCCUCUUUAUACAACUGACACUUUUAAUAGUACUUCGUCUUCAUUUCCUUUCAUAUUAAUAUGUUAUUUUACUAAAAUUCUGGCAUUAAUACUAAGGAAUGUCAGAAAUGAGAGUUGUAUGCGAUGUCGGAAAAACCAAUCGAGUUUUAUUCUUUUGAUGAAUGUACACUACAAUACAUAGAGUGGACUUUUUAUCUGACCUGUUACUCUCUGAGGCAAGGCCACUUCGAUGUUCUGGGGCAAAUUCCAAACUGCAUUUUUGUCCCUUGAAGGGCACUGCUGUGGGAAGGGGACACGCCUCGAAAGCAUGUUCCAAAUGAAAGUGAGAAAUCAAGUCUUUUCUCGAAGGCGCCCCUGCAGCACCCUUUCCGUGCACGCCACUGAAACCUAUUACCACCUAAAAACUUAUAUAUUUUACACUGUUACGAUCUCAUCUCUCACCAUUUUUCUGAUCUAUUUUUCAAAGUUGUCAGCAAUAUUGUCCUUUUUCUUAGCUUGUUUAAUUCUCUGUUUUCUAGGUGUGACUGACUGAGCUGCUUGGGAUCUUAACAGAUUAUGUCAUCCAUUAUGACAACAUUUCCAUAAAUAAAAUUAUACAUUAGUAAAAAUGGACUAUUUGUGAGUUUGAUUCUCCAGGAGGAAAUCAAAUCCUGCAGGAUACCACCCAAAUAGUUCCUGUAGAAAACUACUGCACAGUGUGUAUGGUUUAAUUUGGUUUAAUGGUUAAAUGGAUUUGAAAUCCACCCUGCACAAUAUUCCUGCAGGGAAUAAAGGUGUUUUAAUGACCUGUAAGACAAUUCCUGCAGGACAGAAUACCUGCAGAAAAUUAUUUCCAUUCCUUCAUAAUAUUCCUGCAGAAUUUCUACAGGAAAAUGAGCUGAAAAUCCUGUAGGAUUCCUGAAGGGUUUAAGGUUUUUUUUUUUUUUUUUCCACACAGAUGUUCACACAGUACAAGACUACUACUGUGUCUACAUUGCAAGCAAUUUGCCUGUUUUAGUCAUCUUUUCUUUUUUGUGCUGUAUCAAAGGAAAGAUGAAUAUAAUUUGAAUUUCUUUUCAUCACUGAUGUAUCUGUAAAAUGACAUGACUGUGUCAGCUGGCUAGCAAAAAGAAAAACACAAAAUUAUUAACUGCCAUCAAGUUGUCCCUCAUUGGGUUUUUUCCCCAGUAGAAUCUUAACACAAUCUUUUCUUCGAGAACCCGAACGCUGCUCUUUUCCAUACAAAAAACUGUUCAUAUUGAGCACUACUGUCAAGCUCAAAAAAACAAAACAAAAAUAUUAUUAUUUAUUAAUAUACCAUAAAAGUAGUCCAUACAACACAAAGCUGUUAUGUGGCCCCAGAAAGCUUGGAAUAUAGUGCACUUGUAAUAUGGACUACUGUUAUGAUGUCUUUAUACUGAACCUUUAAUAGUGUUUUAUAGUAUUUGUCCUUUUUGAAGCUUAACAGCUCCUGCUCACUAUAAACUAUUAUUAUAUGGAAAAAUAUUACCUAAUAAUAUUUGCAUUAAAUAUAUAUGACACUGUCCUUGCCACAACCUAAAAACUCAAUUGAAGCCACAAGUCACAGGUCUUACCAUGUUCUAGUUUUAAUCUGAGGGUGAAAACGCUCUACUUUGUGUUACAGAUCAUUUUCUAAGACAAUAUCAAGUGAAUUUUCAAAAAAGGUACUUCAGAAACUUACCAGAUAACCACAUUAAUUCAAUUCCUUUACAAUAUACACACAUUCGCUCUUUGACUUAAGCCUGAUAUGCUGAAAAAGGCUCCGUUAAUGUUAUCACAUUCAAAAUUAUGAAUGACAUACGUGGCAUAUUUUUAAUUAAAAAUGGCAAAUUUUUCCAAAGGGUGAAUAGUUUGCACCACUGGAAAUUACUGUUGGUCUGUACAACAUUUCAAUCAUAAAAUAGUGGGGAAAUAUUGCAUGUUUAGUUAUAUACUGACAUCUUACAUGACACUAAAACACUUAACCUGAACUGUUGACACUGAUGCGUGUGUUCUGCAUGGCGCUUGAAUAAUCCACAAGGUUCCUGCUCAGCUUCUUACAUUUGAGUCCAGCCUUCAUCAAUUUGAUUGGCUAUCUCAAAUUACAUUGACGAGCGGUGUUAGACUACUGUGCAGGCUAAAAAUUUAACUUUUUAAAACCAUUAUGUUAUUCCUGCAACAAUUUAAUGACAAUUAAACAGCAGUGCAUAAUGAACUGCAGCAGAACAGCAACAAGUAUAUCAAUUAUUUGGGGGACAAUCUGGCCAUAUCUGAUUAUUGGGGGGGACUUGUCCCCCUCAGUGUAUAUUGUGGUUACGGCCCUGCCACUAAUAAUAGAUAUAACUGUUUAACCUUCAAUAACGGCACCGCGUCUUCACGCAUUUGCUUAAUAAUUAGUGAUUUGUGUUACAGCAAAACGCCAAAGGCAGUAAACAAAUCAGAUAUGAAUGAUUCUCAAUGGAGCAGUUUAUUUUUUAACGUAUCUCUGCUGUGUGUGAUGCUCUCAUGAUUUUUACUGGUUGCCAGUAUGUCACAAUGACCUUUGAUAUUGACAGAAUGAUUCAUAACUGUUUCCAUACAAAUAAAUGUUGGCAAUUCACAAUUAAUGUAAUUUUGGUAAUACUUUAUAAAAAGGUUUCAUUUCUUCAACAUUAGUUAAUGCAUUAGGUAUUAUGAAAAAAGUUAACAAUAUUUUUACAGCAUUUAUUAAUCAUAAUGUUAGUUAAUAAAAAUACAAUUGUUCAUUGUUAGUUCAUGUUAGUUCAUAGUGCAUUAAUGUUCACUAAUACAACUUUUGAUU